AAUAAAUAAACACUCAUAUCAUUGAAAUCUCAAAGCUAUGAGAUAAUGCAUGACUAAUUUUUAAAAAUGUUAAUAAAUAUUACAUUUGAUGGAAUAAUCUGAAUGUUAAAGGGUUAAUGUAGGCAUGCUGUAUGAUGGUUUAGACUUUUACACAUGUGACCUGACCCUAUUUUAUAAGUAGGUAGAAGAUUUUUUUAAGGGAAAUUUAGCCUCUACAUUGAUCAGGUUAAUAAAAUAAAUGCUCUAAUAGAUGCUUAGGUACUCAUCAUAAUGGUAUAGUAGUUAUUCUAGAAGUAAUAUAGUAACUAAAAUGUUAUGAUUAAUUGAACCUACUAUCAAGAAAAUAAAUCUAAUUUCAAAUGAAAAGUUAAUUACAUCCAAUAUCUAUUUUUGUUGUAGCCAAGGCAGUAAGCUGGGAGAACUGUUAGCACACUAGGCGAAAUGCUUAGUAGCAUUUCAUCUAUCUUCAUGCUCUGAGUUCAAAUUCCACCAAGGUUGUCUUUGCCUUUCAUCCUUACAGGGUCAGUAAAAUAAGUACCCCCUCCCCAAAAAUUGCUGGCCUUGUACCAAAAUUUGAAAUCUAUAUCCAUUUUUGGCUGUAGCCAUGAAAUACAUGCACAAAUUUACAAAAGGAUCAAAUCUGUUGAAAGCAAAAGAUGAAAGUCAAGUCUUUUUUUAAAAGAACAAUGCUUUUGAGUGGAUUUCAGGUUAAAUCCCAAGUAAUAGAAUUGGAGAAGCUAACGCUAAAACUUGAAAAUCUUUUCAAAUCAACAGAUUCAGAUUCUUUGGUAAUUAAACUGUAAAUAAUCUGUAUCUUAAAGAAUCAACCUCUUACAAAAAUGUACAUAAUGAAGUUAUAAAUAAUAAGAACUUAGAUGUCUAAAAACAACAAAAAACAAAAUGAACUUUGCCAGAUGAAAAACAAAUUAAACAUGAGUCUGCAUGUAUUACAGUUGUCUGUACUCGACAAAAUGCCCCAGCAUGGUCACAACCAAUGACUGAAACCAGUAAGCAAAAAGAAAACAGUAUACACUUCAUGUUUCAAUUGUAUAAAUCU